rnacentral:rRNA from 1 species
GAUGAACGCUGGCGGCGUGCUUAAUACAUGCAAGUCGAACGAAUUGCUUUUCUUCGGAUUAGCAGUUAGUGGCGUCCGGGUGAGUAACACGUGGGUGACCUGCCCCGAAGUGGGGAAUAACUACCCGAAAGGGUUGCUAAUUCCGCAUGUGCUCGGAGAUUCAUUUUUCCGAGUAAAGUCGCAAGGCGCUUUGGGAGGGGCCCGCGGCCGAUUAGCUAGUUGGUAGGGUAAUGGCCUACCAAGGCGAAGAUCGGUAGCUGGUCUGAGAGGAUGAUCAGCCACACUGGCACUGAAACACGGGCCAGACUCCUACGGGAGGCAGCAGUAAGGAAUAUUGCACAAUGGGCGAAAGCCUGAUGCAGCAACGCCGCGUGGGUGAUGAAGGCCUUCGGGUCGUAAAACCCUUUUCUGGGGGAAGAGUAAGGACGGUACCCCAGGAAUAAGCACCGGCUAAUUACGUGCCAGCAGCCGCCGUAAUAC